GAUCAUGGCUCAGGACGACGCUGGCGGCGUGCCUAAUACAUGCAAGUCGAGCGGACCAAAGGGAGCUUGCUCCUGGAGGUCAGCGGCGAACGGGUGAGUAACACGUGGGCAACCUGCCUGUAAGACUGGGAUAACAUCGAGAAAUCGGUGCUAAUACCGGAUAAUAAAAAGAACUGCAUGGUUCUUUUUUGAAAGAUGGUUUCGGCUAUCACUUACAGAUGGGCCCGCGGCGCAUUAGCUAGUUGGUGAGGUAACGGCUCACCAAGGCAACGAUGCGUAGCCGACCUGAGAGGGUGAUCGGCCACACUGGGACUGAGACACGGCCCAGACUCCUACGGGAGGCAGCAGUAGGGAAUCUUCCGCAAUGGACGAAAGUCUGACGGAGCAACGCCGCGUGAGUGAUGAAGGUUUUCGGAUCGUAAAACUCUGUUGUUAGGGAAGAACAAGUGCCGUUCGAAAGGGCGGCACCUUGACGGUACCUAACGAGAAAGCCACGGCUAACUACGUG
rnacentral:rRNA from 1 species